UGGUCGGCGCAGGCCCCAGGCCCAGCCCCCCGCCAAUGGCCUGCUGCGCCGGCGCCGGGUUCUCCAGGUCCAGCCUUCCCUCUCCAACACAGGGCUGUGCGCAUGCGCCUGGAAAGGGAGAUAUGGAGAACUGUUUGGCGGCCGCGGCGCUGAACGGGGUGGACCGACGUGCCCUGCAGCGCACGGCUAGGCUGGGUCAAGAAGUGCUGGAGCGGGCCAAGAGGAGGGCGGUGGACUGGCAUUCGCGGGAGCUCCCCCAAAGCAGCGCGGGGGUCACUUCCCGGGAACAGCCUGACCGAGAAAGACGGCCAGCAGCCGGCCCCGAGCGCCUUCUCCCGGGAGAGAGAGAAGAAAGACAACCAACCCUCAGUGCUUCCUUCAGAACAAUGGCAGAAUUCAUGGACUAUACUUCAAGUCAGUGUGGGAAAUAUUAUUCAUCUGUACUGGAGGAUGGAGGGGCAGCCCACGUCUCUCGUUAUCACAGAAGGAAGUCGGAACUGCAUUUGUGCUGUGACGGGAGGAAUGGUCAGAGAAAAGACACCUCUCUUGGUCUUGGAGUCAUCUCUCACGCAUCAGAGUGUGCUCUAGAGGCCUCUCAGCAGCCUGCUGAAAACAUCUCUAAGGACCUCUACAUAGAAGUAUAUCCAGGGACCUAUUCCGUCACUGUGGGUGCAAAUGAUUUAACCAAGACUCACGUGGUAGCAGUGGACUCAGGACAAAGUGUGGACUUGGUCUUCGCCGUAUGAUGUUGACCAUCACGGCCAUCGCAUCACCUUUUCUUAAGUAGCAAGAAGAAUAAAGUCACCAUAUGAUUCUCUUAAUAUUUACACAUUACUCCUGCUUUUACUGCUGACUGUAGAGGGUCAGUCUUCCUGGGAACUGGAGUUUGUCUCUUUCAGUGCCUAUUUUAACUUAAAAUUCUGGAAGUGCCCGCCCCCUCCCCCCCCCCCUUGGCUGAAAAUAAUAAUGUAAUGAUGCUAUCUGAAUGGUUUUUAACUGCUUACUUUCCAGGUAAAGGCUAAUUAUAAUAAAGGGAGAUGAUUUGGAAAUGAAGAGAAUUCCUUUUUAUUGGUAUUAAGAGGUGAAACAGUGUCGCUCACGCACAGCUGAAGGCUUAUGAAACGAUGGCAGAGAGGCUGUGGACACAUUUGCCCAAAGCAGGCCAAUCACCCCCUGCAGCUUCUGUGGAGGAGGCAUCCUCGAGCAAUCUCCCCAGGCCCCCGUCAGGGAGCCCUGGCCGUGGCCACCAGACUCCUGUGCCCCUUGUGGCAGGUGCCUUCCUGCCACUCAUCUGCCGGGAAGUCUUAACGGGUGAAGAUGCUGCUGCUUAUUCGACUGUCACCUGAGGCCUGCACUCUGCCUCCGUCCAUUGAAGAAGGACUUAACCACUUUGUAAUGCCUCCUCAGAUGAUGCCACGUCUUGUUCCUAAACCCCAAAUUUAAUUACUUAUGUUGUGUGUGCCACCAUGGGAUGAGUCUUGAUGACUGAAAUAGAACCACAUCACGGAUCCCAGAAUCUCUGAACUAUCUGUAAGUGUCGGGCACUGCUGUUUGUAAAGAGAAAUAAAGUCUGGUAGUUAUUUCUGGCCA